CAAAAAGGCCUCGGCCUCUGGUGAGUCUGCCUGCCUGGGGAUGUCCACACUGAGAGACAGUUGCCGUCCUGCCACAGGGGUUGUAGAGGAAAGAUGGGCAUCACACUGGGUUGUUUUGGUGUGCUGCUCUUGAGCAGCACUGGAAAAUACCCACAUCUCUACCAUCUCAAGUGAGCAGACCCCACCCUCUUUGCUGUGUUUCCCCUAGAUUUCCUGCUUGAGCAAGGAGGCCAUACAAUAACAGAGCAAUGCUAGAAAUGUAAGCGCAGCGUAGUUCUAGCGGGAAGACUAGCAGCUGGACAUCAUCGCACCAUUAGCUAAGUAACUCCUAGCCAAUCACAUGUAAGCCAAUGCUUUAUAAGUCUGCUCACAAUCUAUCACAUUGCUGUUUCAGUGUGCUAACAUGGCAACCUCCACCACCACCAGUUUAGUCCCGUCCUGCACGGGGGUAGACUCCUCGCCCCUGCCUCCUAUCUCUGGCAGGAUAUGACGGUUCCAAGUACAACUUCUUCAGACCGACAGACGGGCUUACACCAAAGAGAGACAUUACAUUUCUGUUUUAUAUUCAUCAAAUAAAUGUCAUCUUAAAUUUCACUCAAGUCUGUGAGUCUUCCUGAUAGAACAGUGAUAAAUAAUAAUGUGACUUUUUUUUUUUUUUCAAGUUGUCUUGUUUCAAUUAUUUUACAUUUUAAUUUGAAGUCUGUUCCAUAUAGUGGGAAAUGUAGAUUUUGUUAUGUAACAACGAGUCAUCGCUUCCCCACAGAAACCAAAUAAUCGAUUCCAAUGUAAUUUAAACCACCAGAUUACCACUUAAAUUGAAUGCAUCUCAGUCUAUGUGGCCUGGGCUAAUGAGCUAAAGGGUGGGUCACAAAAUGCUGUGCAGUGACGUUCAUUGUUCAUGUGAUGAUCUGUAUAUAAAAUGUAAGAAAAUGAAAGAUUAUCUGAUAUCAACAAACAAGUAAACAAGCACAACUGCUACAAAAUGUAUUUAAAAUAAUAUUGAGAUUACACUCCAGGUAUUAUAGACCUCCAUGUUUAUAAGGAG